CGGCGGCCACCGCUAUAGGAAUUCGAUUAAGACAUGCGAGUCGAGAGUCGUAAUGGACUCGGCGAACUGCUCAGUAACACGUGGAUAACGUGCCCUUAAGUGGAGGAUAAUCUCGGGAAACUGAGGAUAAUACUCCAUAGAUUAUGGAAUCUGGAAUGAUCCAUAGUCGAAAGUUCCGGCGCUUAAGGAUCGGUCUGCGGCCUAUCAGGUUGUAGUGGGUGUAACGUACCUACUAGCCUAUGACGGGUAUGGGCCUUGAGAGAGGGAGCCCAGAGUUGGAUUCUGAGACACGAAUCCAGGCCCUACGGGGCGCAGCAGUCGCGAAAACUUCACAAUGGGGGCAACCCCGAUGAGGGAAUUCCUAGUGCUAGCACAAUUGUGUUAGCUUUUCUCUAGCGUAGAUAACUGGAGGAAU
rnacentral:rRNA from 1 species